rnacentral:rRNA from 1 species
AUAGAACGCUGGCGGCAUGCCUUACGCAUGCAAGUCGAACGGCAGCAUGGAGAGCUUGCUCUCUGAUGGCGAGUGGCGAACGGGUGAGUAAUGCAUCGGAACGUACCGUGUAAUGGGGGAUAACGUAGCGAAAGUUACGCUAAUACCGCAUACGACCUGAGGGUGAAAGCAGGGGAUCGCAAGACCUUGCGUUAUACGAGCGGCCGAUGUCAGAUUAGCUAGUUGGUGAGGUAAAGGCUCACCAAGGCGACGAUCUGUAGCGGGUCUGAGAGGAUGAUCCGCCACACUGGGACUGAGACACGGCCCAGACUCCUACGGGAGGCAGCAGUGGGGAAUUUUGGACAAUGGGGGCAACCCUGAUCCAGCCAUGCCGCGUGAGUGAAGAAGGCCUUCGGGUUGUAAAGCUCUUUCGGCCGGGAAGAAAUCGCACAGGCUAAUACUCUGUGUGGAUGACGGUACCGGCAUAAGAAGCACCGGCUAACUACGUGUCAGCAGCCGCCGUAA